GGGCCGUUAGCUCAGUUGGUAGAGCAGCGGACUUUUAAUCCGCGGGUCAUAGGUUCGAUCCCUAUACGGCCCA
rnacentral:tRNA from 1 species